GUCGAACGCUGGCGGCAGGCCUAACACAUGCAAGUCGAACGAGUGGCGGACGGGUGAGUAAUGUCUGGGAAACUGCCCGAUGGAGGGGGAUAACUACUGGAAACGGUAGCUAAUCCCGCAUCCCAUCGGCUGUGCCCAGAUGGGAUUAGCUAGUAGGUGGGGUAACGGCUCACCUAGGCGACGAUCCCUAGCUGGUCUGAGAGGAUGACCAGCCACACUGGAACUGAGACACGGGCCAGACUCCUACGGGAGGCAGCAGUGGGGAAUAUUGCACAAUGGGCGCAAGCCGGAUGCAGCCAUGCCGCGUGUAUGAAGAAGGCCUUCGGGUUGUAAAGCACUUUCAGCGAGGAGGCGUGACUCGCAGAAGAAGCACCGGCUAACUCCGUGCCAGCCGCCGCGGUAAUAC
rnacentral:rRNA from 1 species